rnacentral:rRNA from 1 species
CGUAGUGAACCUGCGGAAGGAUCAUUC